rnacentral:snRNA from 1 species
AGAUGUGAAGGUGAUCUGGCUGUGAUGUCUGUCACCCCAUUGACCGCCAGGGUUGAUCUGCUGGCUAGGUGAGUAUUCCCUCCCUCUAUCACUACUCCAUUACAUCCCUCCAGAGGCUGCGCACCAGGUCAAAGAGGAUGACCUUCCCCAAUAGAUGAGGACUGUUCUUCCGUCAAGGAUAUUGAGAGCUGACUCCCCUGCUAGAACCUCCACCCAAGCUUUUCAGGUCCUUAAGGAACACACCUCCUGUAUACUAUCUAGCAUUCUCUGCU